UGAGUAACCUGCCCUUAACUCUGGGAUAACCCCGGGAAACCGGGGCUAAUACCGGAUACGACCUCCGCGGGCAUCUGCGGAGGUGGAAAGGUUUCCGGCUGAGGAUGGGCCCCGCGGCCUAUAAGCUUGUUGGUGGGGUGACGCCGCCAAGGCGACGACGGGUAGCCGGCCUGAGAGGGCGACCGGCCACACUGGGACCGAGACACGGCCCAGACUCCUACGGGAGGCA
rnacentral:rRNA from 1 species